rnacentral:rRNA from 1 species
UUUGAUCCUGGCUCAGAUUGAACGCUGGCGGCGUGCUUAACACAUGCAAGUCGAGCGGCAGCGCGGUAGCAAUACUGGCGGCGAGCGGCGAACGGGUGAGUAAUGCUUCGGAAUCUUCCUCGUAGUGGGGAAUAACCUGGGGAAACUCAGGCUAAUACCGCAUACGAACUACGGUUGAAAGCAGGGGAUCGCAAGACCUUGCGCUAUGAGAUGAGCCGAAGUCGGAUUAGCUAGUUGGUGGGGUAACGGCCUACCAAGGCGACGAUCCGUAGCUGGUCUGAGAGGACGACCAGCCACACUGGGACUGAGACACGGCCCAGACUCCUACGGGAGGCAGCAGUGGGGAAUAUUGGACAAUGGGGGCAACCCUGAUCCAGCGACGCCGCGUGUGUGAAGAAGGCCUGCGGGUUGUAAAGCACUUUUAGUGGGGAUGAAAAGCCGAGGGCUAAUACUCUUCGGUCUUGACCUAACCCAAAGAAAAAGCACCGGCUAACUCUGUGCCAGCAGCCGCGGUAAUACAGAGGGUGCAAGCGUUAAUCGGAAUUACUGGGCGUAAAGCGUGCGUAGUCGGUUAUCUAAGUCGGAUGUGAAAUCCCCGGGCUCAACCUGGGAAUUGCAUUCGAUACUGGAUAGCUAGAGUUCGGCAGAGGGAAGUGGAAUUUCGGGUGUAGCGGUGAAAUGCGUAGAUAUCCGAAGGAACAUCAGUGGCGAAAGCGACUUCCUGGACCAGAACUGACGAUCAGGCACGAAAGCGUGGGGAGCAAACAGGAUUAGAUACCCUGGUAGUCCACGCCAUAACGAUGACAACUAGAUGUUGAGAGGGUAAGCCUCACAGUGUCGCAGCUAACGCGUUAAGUUGUCCGCCUGGGGAGUACGGCCGCAGUUGAAACUCAAAGGAAUUGACGGGACCCGCA